rnacentral:lncRNA from 1 species
AAAUAUCUUUAACUGAUUUUGACCUUUACAUUUAAACUACAUUUAUGUUCCUCACUAUCCUUCUUUUUAGGAAUUUGGAAAACACGAACCCUGGAAUUUGGAGGAGUCACUUCCACUGGAAAAUACUUUUAUAUUAUUUAUAUUGCAGGGUCAUCUACAGGGACCUCUGGUACUGCCCCGUGGAUUGAGGCUGUUUCUACAAAAUUGUGACAGAAAAGGUGAGGAACAGUGACAGUUG